rnacentral:rRNA from 1 species
UACCCCUAGGUGGGGGAUAACGUCCCGAAAGGGACGCUAAUACCGCAUAAGACCACGUCCCGAAAUGGAUGAGGUCAAAGCAAGCCUCUGUACACAAGCUUGCGCCAAGGGAUCGGCCCGCGGCCCAUCAGGUAGUUGGUAGGGUAAUGGCCUACCAAGCCGAAGACGGGUAGCUGGUCUGAGAGGAUGAUCAGCCACACUGGAACUGAGACACGGUCCAGACUCCUACGGGAGGCAGCAGUGGGGAAUCUUGCGCAAUGGGCGAAAGCCUGACGCAGCGACGCCGCGUGAGCGAUGAAGGCCUUAGGGUUGUAAAGCUCUGUGGAGAGGGACGAAUAAGUCGGAACGAACAGCUCCGAUGAUGACGGUACCUCUUUAGCAAGCACCGGCUAACUCUGUGCCAGCAGCCGCGGUAA